CCUACGGGAGGCUGCAGUGAGGAAUAUUGGUCAAUGGACGAGAGUCUGAACCAGCCAAGUAGCGUGAAGGAUGACUGCCCUAUGGGUUGUAAACUUCUUUUAUAAAGGAAUAAAACGAGGCACGUGUGCCUUUUUGCAUGUACUUUAUGAAUAAGGAUCGGCUAACUCCGUGCCAGCAGCCGCGGUAAUACGGAGGAUCCGAGCGUUAUCCGGAUUUAUUGGGUUUAAAGGGUGCGUAGGCGGGCUGUUAAGUCAGUGGUAAAAGGUCGGGGCUCAACCUCGACGUGCCGUUGAAACUGGCUGUCUUGAGAUGUCGUGAGGUAUGCGGAAUGCGUAGUGUAGCGGUGAAAUGCUUAGAUAUUACGUAGAACUCCGAUUGCGAAGGCAGCAUACCAGC
rnacentral:rRNA from 1 species